rnacentral:lncRNA from 1 species
AGGGGGAGCGGUCGGUGGACACAGGAGAGUGGCGGUCCGUCGGCGAGCGGCGUCCUCCGUCGGGGUGCCUGCAGAAAAGCCGGUGGCCGGGUUUUCCGGCGCCGGCCCUCCGAUGCUUAAGUCAGAGGGGGGGAAACUGCGUUUAAAGGAGAAAGGAGAGAAGUUUUUCAGAGUUUCCUGUGUUCAACCCCCCUUGAGAAGCAAGGGUCCCCUUUUUAUAGGGGGGU